CCUACGGGUGGCAGCAGUGGGGGAUAUUGCACAAUGGGGGGAACCCUGAUGCAGCGACGCCGCGUGAAGGAAGAAGGCUUUCGGGUUGUAAACUUCUUUUAUGAGGGAAGAGCAGAAGACGGUACCUCUUGUAUAAGCUACGGCUAACUACGUGCCAGCAGCCGCGGUAAUACGUAGGGGGCAAGCGUUGUCCGGAUUUACUGGGUGUAAAGCGCUCGUAGGCGGUAUGUCAAGUCAAGGGUGAAAUCCCCGCGGUCAACGUGGGAACUGCCUUUGAAACUGGCAAACUGGAGUGUGUGAGAGGAGAGUGGAAUUCCAGGUGUAGGGGUGAAAUCCGUAGAUAUCUGGAGGAACAUCAGUGGCGAAGGCGACUAUCUGGCACAUAACUGACGCUGAGGAGCGAAAGCGUGGGUAGCAAACAGGAUUAGAUACCCGAGUAGUC
rnacentral:rRNA from 1 species